rnacentral:rRNA from 1 species
UACGUAGGGGGCUAGCGUUGUCCGGAAUCAUUGGGCGUAAAGCGCGUGUAGGCGGUCCGGUAAGUCCGCUGUGAAAGUCGAGGGCUCAACCCUCGAAUGCCGGUGGAUACUGUCGGGCUAGAGUACGGAAGAGGCGAGUGGAAUUCCUGGUGUAGCGGUGAAAUGCGCAGAUAUCAGGAGGAACACCAGAGGCGAAGGCGGCGACCUGGAUGAGUACUGACACUCAACUACGAAAGCGUGGGGAGCAAACAGG